AAUUUGUUUCGGAUAGUGAAUUACACAAAAAGGACAAUACAGAUCCCUCAAGGUCACUGCUGGGUGGAGGGAAAUAAUGCAAGGAUGAGUGAAGAUAGCAACAAAUUUGGACCAGAUCUAGUGGGUUUUGGAAAUGUAGUAGCUAAAGCCACACACAUUGUUUGGCCUUUGGAAAGAUGGACAAAACUUGGAUCCACCACACAAAAUUAAGGAGGCUCGAUGGUCAAGAGAGGACUUAUCACAGCCAAAGCAACACACGUGGUGUGGACCCCUCAUCGCAGGAAACGUUUGGAGUCCAUCGAAGCGCCACCUGAACGUGUCAUCAAAGAAUGCCAC